GUGCUGUUGUUUGUUUGUCUUUUUCGUUUUUAGCCAUGGCGUUGUUAGUUUGUUUUAGAUUUAUGAAUUUGACUGUUCCUUUGGUAUCUUUCGUCCCUCUUUUGAUUCAUUUGACCAACCUGCCGCUUUUAAAAUUGUAUCAAUUGAAGUAGCACACCGUAGUGCUGCAGAUGUACUUGCUGAUCUAGUACUAUGUGGUUUAUAUAUAGUUAUGUCUACACCAGCCGUUUGCAAAACAAUUUUAACCCAACAUCCAAGCGUGUCUUUAGACACAUGAGAGUAUGGUUUUAUACAGCUCAAGAUUAACUUUUGAGUUUUCCGAAAACAUGAUGUUCUAACUAAAUACUAUUUUAGAACAGUUACAAUACACAGACUGUUAUCCUCAAUAAAAACUGGCAACU
rnacentral:lncRNA from 1 species